rnacentral:rRNA from 1 species
UACGGAGGGUGCAAGCGUUGCUCGGAAUUAUUGGGCGUAAAGGGUAGGUAGGUGGUCUCAUUUGUCUGGGGUGAAAGCCUUGAGCUUAACUCAAGAAGUGCCCCAGAAACGGUGAGACUGGAGUCCUGGAGAGGGUCGUGGAAUUCCGCGUGUAGCAGUGAAAUGCGUAGAUAUGCGGAGGAACACCGAUGGCGAAGGCGGCGUUCUGGACUGCAACUGACACUGUAAAACGAAAGCCAGGGGAGCAAACGGG